rnacentral:rRNA from 1 species
CGAGCGCAUUGGCCCAACUGAUAUGACGUGCUUGCACUGAAUUGACGUUGGAUUACCAGUGAGCGGCGGACGGGUGAGUAACACGUGGGCAACCUGCCCUGAAGCGGGGGAUAACAUCUGGAAACAGGUGCUAAUACCGCAUAACAACGAAAACCACAUGCUUUUCGUUUCAAAGAUGGUUUCGGCUAUCACUUCAGGAUGGGCCCGCGGUGCAUUAGCUAGUUGGUAAGGUAACGGCUUACCAAGGCAAUGAUGCAUAGCCGAGUUGAGAGACUGAUCGGCCACAAUGGAACUGAGACACGGUCCAUACUCCUACGGGAGGCAGCAGUAGGGAAUCUUCCACAAUGGGCGCAAGCCUGAUGGAGCAACACCGCGUGAGUGAAGAAGGGUUUCGGCUCGUAAAGCUCUGUUGUUGGAGAAGAACGUGCGUGAGAGUAACUGUUCACGCAGUGACGGUAUCCAACCAGAAAGUCACGGCUAACUACGUGCC